AGAGACCGGCCCACUAUGUUGCCCAGGCAGAUCUCGAACUGCUGAGCUCAAGCGAUCCUCCCGCCUCCCCUCCCGAAGUGCUAGGAUUCCAGGUGUGGCCACCGCGCCCACCACUUCCUUGCCUCCUCUCCCAAGCUUGCCCUCCUGUCUCCUGCUUUCCCUUAGACAAACUCAUAUGAUCCUGGGCCCGCGCAGAUAAUCUGGCAUAAUCUCAAAAUCCUUAAUCCCAUCUCUGGGGCCACAAUUCAACCAACUACAAGCUUGAAUUUGGGGAAUGAGCCAUGGAGGUGUUGGGGAGAGCGUGUUCCUGGCAGUGCAAGAGCCAGGAGGCAGGAGACAGCCGUCUGCAGCAGCCCCACUCCCGCCCUCCAGGGGCUGUGCCUUCUCCUACAGAAGUACCAGGAGGAUCACGGCGCCCACAGCCUGGCAGCUGCUCCACCACACCUUCUCACUCGGUGCCGAGUGCAGCUGUUCCUGUCUGAGGAGGCUCAGUUUGGAAGCAGCCCCUCUUGGGACUCAGAAAUCAAGGUCUCCGCCUUCCCCUUCCUCGAGAACACCAACCUCUCAAUGAACUUUCACUUCUUACUGCGGUUAGCAGUUUUUAGCAAGUUAUUUUUAUCUAAUAAAAACAAUAUAUAGUUUUAAAAAUGCGAACUCUACAGGAGUUCGAGACCAGCCUGGCCAACAUGUGAAACCCCGUCUCUACUAAAAAUACAAAAAACUAGCUGGGCGCAUGCCCGUAGUCCCAGCUAUUCGGGAGGCUGAGGCAGAAGAAUUGCUUGAACCUGGGAGGCGGACGUUGCGGUGAGCCCAGAUUGCAGCACUGCACUCCAGUCUGGGCUACAGAGUGAGAUUUCAACUAAAAAAAAAAAAAAAAAAAAAAGUUGGGGCGUGGUGGCUCACGCCUGUAAUCCCAGCACUUUGGGAGGAUGAGGCAGGCAGGUGGAUCACGGGGUCAUA
rnacentral:lncRNA from 1 species